AGCUGCUUUCCAGAAUUCAAUAUACCACUUAUGUCAACACCACAAUCACUUUCAUUAACUCAGCACCUCCUCACGAGCAACAGAAAAGAGCACUCAGGGUAAAUCACCAGUUAAAGAUCUAACAAAAUCCAGCCAGCCUUAUUGUCAGAAAGCAAAGAUAUGAAAAAUGGAAUUACUUUUCAUGUUUUAGGUGUGACAGAAAUUCAAUACCUAGGUUAAUAAGGAUCAAUGACAGCAGAAUCUUACUUGAAUAGACCAGAGGGAUUUAAAUUUGAGAUCUAUUUCUUACCACAAAGACCUGGAUCUGAUUACAUGGCUUCAGGUGUUGUUGGUUUUUGUUAAUGUAAAGGGAUUUAAAAUUACAUUCUUAUUUGUAACAGUGUUCUGAGACCUCUAAUUGGCAGGUGAAUUGAGUCAUUACUCUAGCUGUCUUCCAGAAGUAUACCACAGCUCUAAAGCAACUCACGUCAAGUGGCUUCAAGGCUGGAUCAGGCCCUCAGAAGCAGAAUUGGUAGAUUUACAGUAUAACCUAGAAAGGAGUGGGGUGGAAACAGAAAAACAACCUACAUUUGUCUAUAUUUUUCUUGUAUCUGCCCAAACGCAAAAGCUUGUUUUUACAUAUUUGGCAAUGAAUGGCAUCUAGAGCUGCUCUAAUAAACAUAAUGCUUCCUGGCAAUGUUUUGGCACCCCUGUGCUUGCACCGAAGGACCAAGGCUGUCGAGUCAACAGCUCCAACAGAAACUAUAGUCUGCUCUUGACAUUCAUUGAGAUGUCCAACAAAGACCAGCUGCAGAGGUGGCUUUUCCAGAUUUCCAAUACAAACCAGAGAAUGCAGAAGCAGUGAUCAAGCUUUAGCCUAACAACUCAAGAUGUAAAAUAAUGGUUUCACCAUCGCUGCCACUCUCUAAAACAGGGGGAAAAGCUGCUGAAGAAAACCCCAAAGUCUCCUGUGAACUCUGCAUUUGAAAAUGUUAUCAUGAAAUAUCUAGUAUCUUGGCUAGGCUUUUUAUUUAGUCAGGUUAUAAAGAGGCUUUAAGGUGCCAACGAGAACAAAUACCUGUUGAAGCCAUCCCAAAUCUACUGGCAUCAAGAUAAAAUUGCCUGGAAGCAUUUUGCUGCAUUGGAUUUCUUAUCAUGGCUCCUGGUCACGGCUUAUGAAGAGUUUUUGUAUUUAUCUGACUCCCAGUGCAAAGUAUGAUGAUUUUCUGUAGUGUAAGAACUUGUGACCCAUGGCCACUUGGAUAUUUGUAACAGGAUCCACACGUUGUGGGUGCUCCUGUCAACAUAUACAUAUAUAUGUUAUAACAUGUAACUUGAGUUCUGAUGAAAUGCUGCCAACACUGAUAGGUGUGCUGGAAAUCUCCCUGAAGAAUCUCACGUGUUUUGUUUUGGGUUUUUCUUUUUUUUUUUUUCUUCAAAGAAAUUUCUAGACUUGAAAGUUGUAAAGGAAAGCCCCAAAUCAGAUGUCUGCAAGCUGGAGAAACCAUGGCCGAAUACCAUUGUCCUCAAUUAUAUUUUCCCUGUAAUUUCAUAAUUUUUAAGCUGAACUCAUGACUCUGCAUGAGCCAGAAUGAAAACUUGAAGAUAUUGGCUCGAUACUGUUGUGAGGAUAUUUUGCUUUUCACUCAUUACUUCAUAGAAUCAUAGAAUGGCUUGGGUUGGAAGGGACCCCAAUGACCAUCAAGUUCCAACCUUUCUGCCACAGACAGUGCCACCAACUUCCAUAGCUGUAUUGCUGCAAGAGGGAGAGCAGCUUCACAGUUCCAACAGAAGCAGGUGGCACUGUAAGGGAAUGUGAGGACUGGGACAGAUAACUGGCACAUCCAGUACUGUACAUUUAUGAGUUGUAGAGAAAACUCCCUAAAAUUCAGCAGUACCUGCCUCCAUCAGCCAGUCCUUACUGACUUGUAACGGUGUAGAUGACAGCGAGAGAAACAGUGGAAGGGACACACACACCAAAAAAAAAAAAAAAAAA